rnacentral:lncRNA from 1 species
UGCCUUACAACUAAAUCAGCAACUCUAUUAGGCUUUGAAAUUUUUUAAAUGAAUAAAUAAGAAACAAUUAAGUACAAUGAAAUCUCUAUAGUUUUAAAUGAAAAUAAAUGGUGAAUGUUUUACAGAUGUAUAGUAAUUAGGAUGAAGUUAAUGUUGUUAACCAUAAAAAUAGGAGUGACACAUUUGUAAUAUUAAAAGUAAAUUAAGAGAACUUAAAGAUAUCUUAUUUUAAAUAUAUUGAUAUCUAUUCCUAGUGAAAUAUGAAUAGGUUCAAAUUUAAAUGACAACAUUUAUAAGUAGAUAAAUAAUAUGACUCUAAAUUAAUAGAAUAGAUAUUGAUCGAUUUUCAAUAUUAACUAAAGAAGUAACUGUAGUGCUGACUAGUAUUACUAUUAUCUGAUCAAUAGAAAAAUCAUAUCUUGACUGGGUUUUCAAUUUUUAAAUGUAAAAAAAAAAACAAAAAAAAAAAACAAGCGGACACGUUUGUUUUGUUUGGAUCAUAUAAGUUCACAAGAAAAUCGAGUAUUAAAAAGUACUUUGUCAGCGUAGCAUGGGGGAAGUUUCAUCUUUAUGCAGGUUUUGAAAUAGCUAGGAGGUGUGAUUCUCGACUAUUCAAGAAAAAAAACAUGAUUUGAGUGACAUCCUUGAUUCUGUCAAACAAAGUGUCAAUACUCUGUGGCUUGGUAACCAAGAGAAUGAUAAAUGAAUUAAUGAGUGGGAAUAAUGAUUUUCUUAUCAUUAUUUACAAUUUACAUUAUAAGAAAUAUAAGAAAUUUUUGUUCUUAUGAUUCCUUUACAUUUCUUAACAUUUAAGGAAUAAUAGACUACAAUUAUUCUUUAUCAAAUUAGAAGAUGAAUAGUUUUUUUUUUUUUUAUUCUUUUCAUUUUUUUCUUUCUUAUAUUUCAUAUUUCUUUAAUGGUUACCGGUUUGUUUUGCAAAAAUGUUAUUUUAGAAUUUUUUUUGUUUUAACAAGCAGUAUUAUUUUGUAUUUAUAAUGCAAAAUUUCAAAUAAAAAAUGGAAAAUUUUAAGUUUAGCACCAUUUUUUGUACCUCAAUUCAUGUUUAUCUUUAUUAAAGAAAUAUUUUCACAAAUAUUUUCUCCAUUGAAGAGGGAAAGAUCCUUCUAUCAUUCUUUUAAAGAUAUUUAAAUAUGAAUAAUUAUUUAAAUAAAUAAUACUAAAAUUAAAAAAAGUUUUUUAUAAUUUUCGAAUUAUACGUCUUCGAACAGGAACAUUUUUUUCAAAAAAAAAAUUCAAUUUAUUUUUGAAAUUCAAAACAAAUCCAUAAAAAAUAUUUUAACUAAAUAUUAUAGUAAUUUUAGAAAAAUACAUAAAAAAGUCCCCCCAAACUGAACUCCAGUGAUUAUGGCCUUUAAAAAGUUGAAAUGUCAUAUUUGUUUUUUUUUUUUUUUUGUAUCCUUUCCUUGUUGGCCAACCAGACAAGUAUUCUUUAUACCAGAACGUAUCUAACUGGUUUAUGUUUGAACUUGAGCAUGUCAACCAAACAUAAACAUGUAAACUGUAAACACUUUUUCCAUCGGAUUUUUCAAACAAUUAAAAAUAUUGAAAACGGUGAUUACUUUCUUUUUGUAUACACUAAAAUUUUUAUACAUCACUUAUCCUCUAAAUCGUAUUAGGUUCUUUUCGAUAUGACAUGUUUAUAAAAUUUACUUUGUAACUAAAUCAGGGUGAUGGAAGAUGAAUACUAUUGCAUUUGCGCGCUUAUUACUGGUUAUUCCGCAUCCGCAGUCAUCACUUCAGUCUCCACUGCGAGCUCUAUCAAAGUAACAAAUUAUAUUAACAAAUUAAACGUAAAUUUUACAAAAAUCAUA